GCCAAUGUGGCUCAGGGGUAGAGCAAUUCACUCGUAAUGAAUAGGUCGUGAGUUCGAUUCUCACCAUUGGCUCCA
rnacentral:tRNA from 1 species